UACGAAGGGGGCUAGCGUUGUUCGGAAUUACUGGGCGUAAAGCGCACGUAGGCGGAUAUUUAAGUCAGGGGUGAAAUCCCAGAGCUCAACUCUGGAACUGCCUUUGAUACUGGGUAUCUAGAGUAUGGAAGAGGUGAGUGGAAUUCCGAGUGCAGAGGUGAAAUUCGUAGAUAUUAGGAAGAACACCGGUGGCGAAGGCGGCUCACUGGCUCGGUACUGACGCUGAGGUGCGAAAGCGUGGGGAGCAAACAGGAUUAGAUACCCUUGUAGU
rnacentral:rRNA from 1 species